rnacentral:rRNA from 1 species
UACGUAGGGGGCUAGCGUUGUCCGGAAUCAUUGGGCGUAAAGCGCGUGUAGGCGGUUCGGUAAGUCCGCUGUGAAAGUCGGGGGCUCAACCCUCGAAUGCCGGUGGAUACUGUCGGACUAGAGUACGGAAGAGGCGAGUGGAAUUCCCAGUGUAGAGGUGAAAUUCGUAGAUAUUGGGAGGAACACCGGUGGCGAAGGCGACCGCCUGGACGAUGACUGACGCUGAGGCGCGAGAGCGUGGGGAGCAAACAGG